rnacentral:rRNA from 1 species
CAGUCGCCGCGGUAAGACGAACCGUCCGAACGUUAUUCGGAAUUACUGGGCUUAAAGCGCGUGUAGGCGGGUCGACACGUCCGACGCUGAAAUCCCCCGGCUCAACCGGGGAACUGGCCCGGAUACGAUCGGUCUGGAGGAAGGCAGGGGGGUCUGGAACUUCCGGUGGAGCGGUGAAAUGCGUUGAGAUCGGAAAGAACACCAACGGCGAAAGCACUCUGCUGGGCCGACACUGACACUGAGAGACGAAAGCUAGGGGAGCAAAUGGGACUAGAUACCCCAGUAGUCCCUGUCUCUUAUA